UCCCUGGUAGCUUGGACGGUAAAGCAUCUGCCUACAAUGUGGGAGGCCCGGGUUCGAUCCCUGGGUCGGGAA
rfam:Ovis aries breed Texel chromosome 2, whole genome shotgun sequence.